GAGGCAGAAAUGCGUAGUCGAUGGGAAACGGGUUAAUAUUCCCGUACUUCUAGUUACUGCGAUGGAGGGACGGAGAAGGCUAGGCCAGCACGGCGUUGGUUGUCCGUGUUUAAGGUUGUAGGCUGGUUUCUUAGGUAAAUCCGGGAGAUCAAGGCCGAGAGCUGAUGACGAGCGUUCUUUUAGAAUGCGAAGUGGUUGAUGCCAUGCUUCCAGGAAAAGCUUCUAAGCUUCAGGUAACUAGGAACCGUACCCCAAACCGACACAGGUGGUUAGGUAGAGAAUACCAAGGCGCUUGAGAGAACUCGGGUGAAGGAACUAGGCAAAAUGGCACCGUAACUUCGGGAGAAGGUGCGCCGGUGAGGGUGAAGUAUUUACUACGUAAGCCCAUGCCGGUCGAAGAUACCAGGCCGCUGCGACUGUUUAUUAAAAACACAGCACUCUGCAAACACGAAAGUGGACGUAUAGGGUGUGACGCCUGCCCGGUGCCGGAAGGUUAAUUGAUGGGGUUAGCGCAAGCGAAGCUCUUGAUCGAAGCCCCGGUAAACGGCGGCCGUAACUAUAACGGUCCUAAGGUAGCGAAAUUCCUUGUCGGGUAAGUUCCGACCUGCACGAAUGGCGUAACGAUGGCGGCGCUGUCUCCACCCGAGACUCAGUGAAAUUGAAAUCGCUGUGAAGAUGCAGUGUAUCCGCGGCUAGACGGAAAGACCCCGUGAACCUUUACUAUAGCUUUGCACUGGACUUUGAGCUUGCUUGUGUAGGAUAGGUGGGAGGCUUUGAAGUGGGGACGCCAGUUCUCAUGGAGCCAUCCUUGAAAUACCACCCUGGCAACCUUGAGGUUCUAACUCUGGUCCGUUAUCCGGAUCGAGGACAGUGUAUGGUGGGUAGUUUGACUGGGGCGGUCUCCUCCCAAAGAGUAACGGAGGAGUACGAAGGUGCGCUCAGACCGGUCGGAAAUCGGUCGUAGAGUAUAAAGGCAAAAGCGCGCUUGACUGCGAGACAGACACGUCGAGCAGGUACGAAAGUAGGUCUUAGUGAUCCGGUGGUUCUGUAUGGAAGGGCCAUCGCUCAACGGAUAAAAGGUACUCCGGGGAUAACAGGCUGAUACCGCCCAAGAGUUCAUAUCGACGGCGGUGUUUGGCACCUCGAUGUCGGCUCAUCACAUCCUGGGGCUGAAGCCGGUCCCAAGGGUAUGGCUGUUCGCCAUUUAAAGUGGUACGCGAGCU
rnacentral:rRNA from 1 species